AUAUAGACGAGAAUGAUGCUGUGCUCUUUUCUUCUUUAAAUAAAUUUACGAAAGGUUAGUUAAUAUAAUUUUGUACAAUAUUGCUUAAAGUUGAUCAGUUUUACAAAAAUUAUAAAUUUUUUUUAUUUAAACAGGACGACAAGGUUUACAAUUGCAAAAACUCUUGCAGAAUAAAGACUAUUUUAAGAAAUUUGUUAUAUCGGAACUUCUUGAAAAUGCAUCACAUC